CGUGAGUAUCAAUCUCUUUGAUUGCUUCCACAAUCUGUUCAUCACCGUCGUGGUCGCUGAAGAGUAUCUUCUUUUCUCGCAGUUCCUUAACAUCUUCAGAUUUAACAAUAAGCGAUUUCGUGAAAUUAACAUAACAUAAUACAGUAAAGUUAUACUCGUUUUCUAGAGUCAUUUCAUUUGCAAUCAAUUGCAUGAAUAUUAGCUUGGAAUUAGCAUGAAAAAAUAAAACCGGGAGUUGAAGUUGCCCACAAAGUAUGUAGGAUUUGAACUUAAUAUUCUUCAAACAAUAUGAACUAGGUUUGAAGUGGAUGCCCUUUGCUUUGCUUUGAGGUCGGUGACUGAACGAGAUUGACGAUUGUAUUCCCCCAGUUCAUUUUGAUUUUCUCUCCUCCACUGCCGCCAUCGAUAUCGGUUAAAAGGCUCUUCUGCUGCAUUACCCACUUCUUUGACAAGUAGUCGAUAAGAAGCAUCCAGAAGGUGUAGUGGUUGCCCAUCGUCUUCUUCAGG
rnacentral:lncRNA from 1 species